rnacentral:rRNA from 1 species
AAACUUUCAACAACGGAUCUCUUGGUUCUGGCAUCGAUGAAGAACGCAGCGAAAUGCGAUAAGUAAUGUGAAUUGCAGAAUUCAGUGAAUCAUCGAAUCUUUGAACGCACAUUGCGCCCCUUGGUAUUCCGAGGAGCAUGCCUGUUCGAGCGUCAUU